rnacentral:lncRNA from 10 species
AUUUUUAUAGCCCUGCUGAGCAGAGACUAGGGGGUGGAGGGAGACUUGAAAAUGGACCCAAAACAUAUGAAAAUCAUGAGCAAUAAAGUGUGAGGAGGGAGCCGAACAGAGCCUGGUCCACAUCGGUAAUCGGAUGCUCCACUGAACAGAAACAUGGAGCAUGAACAGCAAGGAACAUCAAGGAAUCUCCCGUUGGCACAGCCCGUUCAGGUUCAGAGCCAAUCCCCAUGUGAAGGGAAAGCCCCACCAUUCGCAAUAGACAAGAAACUCCCUUCCAAGGAUGAGGCCUCUUCCACAUUCGGCUUUCGUCUGAUUUAACAGCUCAAUUUCUUCAUCCUGCCACCUCCCUCAUGGUUUUUAUGAGACCUGGGAACUAUUAAAGAAUGCCAAAUACAAUUCA